rnacentral:rRNA from 1 species
CGAACGAGAAAGGGCUUCGGCCCCGGUACAGUGGCGCACGGGUGAGUAACACGUGGGUAAUCUUCCCUCGAGCGGGGGAUAACGUUCCGAAAGGAACGCUAAUACCGCAUAAGACCACGGCUUCGAGAGAAGCUGCGGUCAAAGUAGGCCUCUGAAUUCACGCUUACACUCGAGGAUGAGCCCGCGGCCCAUCAUGGUAGUUGGUAGGGUAACGGCCUACCAAGCCGAAGACGGGUAGCUGGUCUUAGAGGAUGAUCAGCCACACUGGAACUGAGACACGGUCCAGACUCCUACGGGAGGCAGCAGUGGGGAAUCUUGCGCAAUGGGCGAAAGCCUGACGCAGCGACGCCGCGUGGGUGAUGAAGGCCUUCGGGUCGUAAAGCUCUGUGGGGAGAGACGAAUAAGGCACGGCGAAUACCCGUGGUGAUGACGGUAUCUCCUUAGCAAGCACCGGCUAACUCUGUGCCAGCAGCCGCGGUAAGACAGAGGGUGCAAACGUUGUUCGGAAUUACUGGGCGUAAAGCGUGUGUAGGCGGCCAUGUAAGUUGGAUGUGAAAGCCCGGGGCUCAACCUCGGAAGUGCAUUCAAUACUGCGUGGCUUGAGUAUCGGAGAGGUUGGUGGAAUUCUCGGUGUAGAGGUGAAAUUCGUAGAUAUCGAGAGGAACACCGGUGGCGAAGGCGGCCAACUGGACGAAUACUG